UGAACCAGCCAAGUAGCGUGCAGGAUGACGGCCCUAUGGGUUGUAAACUGCUUUUAUAAGGGAAUAAAGUGGGUUACGUGUGACUUUUUGCAUGUACCUUAUGAAUAAGGACCGGCUAAUUCCGUGCCAGCAGCCGCGGUAAUACGGAAGGUCCGGGCGUUAUCCGGAUUUAUUGGGUUUAAAGGGAGCGUAGGCCGGAGAUUAAGCGUGUUGUGAAAUGUAGAGGCUCAACCUCUGCACUGCAGCGCGAACUGGUCUUCUUGAGUACGCACAACGUGGGCGGAAUUCGUGGUGUAGCGGUGAAAUGCUUAGAUAUCACGAAGAACUCCGAUUGCGAAGGCAGCUCACGGGAGCGCAACUGACGCUGAAGCUCGAAAGUGCGGGUAUCGAACAGGAUUAGAUACCCUGGUAGUCCGCACGGUAAACGAUGGAUGCUCGCUGUUGGCCUGAAUAGGUCAGCGGCUAAGCGAAAGCAUUAAGCAUCCACCUGGGGAGUACGCCGGCAACGGUGCAACUCAAAGGAAUU
rnacentral:rRNA from 1 species